rnacentral:rRNA from 1 species
UAGUCAUAUGCUUGUCUCAAAGAUUAAGCCAUGCAUGUCUAAGUAUAAACAACUCAGUACUUGUGAAACUGCGAAUGGCUCAUUAAAUCAGUUAUAGUUUAUUUGAUGUUACCUUUUUUACUACUUGGAUAACCGUAGUAACAUAGAGCUAAUACAUGCAAACACUCUUGACCGCAAGGAAGAGAGGCACUUAUUAGAUUACAAACCAAUCCGUGUAACAGCGGUAUAAGGUGAUUCAUAGUAAGGUUGGAAAUCGUAUGGGGGUAACUCUGACGAUGUAUCAUUCAAAUUUCUGCCCUAUCAACUUUGGAUGGUAGUAUAGAGGACUACCAUGGUGAUAACGGGUAACGGAGAAUUAGGGUUCGAUUCCGGAGGGGGAGCCUGAGAAAUGGCUACCACUUCUAAGGAGGGCAGCAGGCGCGCAAAUUACCCAAUCCUAAUACGGGGAGGUAGUGACAAUAAAUAACAAUGCAGGGUCUAUUGAUCUUGUAAUUGGAAUGAGUACAAUUUAAACCCCUUAACGAGUAACAAUC